UACGAACUGUGCGAACGUUAUUCGGAAUCACUGGGCUUACAGGGUGCGUAGGCGGCUUGUUAAGUAGGGUGUGAAAGCCCCCGGCUCAACCGGGGAAUUGCGCCCUAAACUGGCGAGCUGGAGUGAGAUAGGGGUGUGUGGAACUUCCGGUGGAGCGGUGAAAUGUGUUGAUAUCGGAAGGAACGCCGGUGGCGAAAGCGACGUGCUGGACCUCUUCUGACGCUGAGGCGCGAAAGCCAGGGGAGCAAACGGG
rnacentral:rRNA from 1 species